GGACAACACCACUGCCAAGGCUCAAUUAAGGAGUAAGAAGAGGAGCAGGGGAGGACAGAAACUCGGGCUCGGAUAGAUGUUGGUCUUGUCCCCACUGUUGUACUGAGGGAGCAAAGGCCACCCUGUACAUGCAGUAUAGCCAGCCAGUCUCCUUUCAUUUUCCCCUGCUAGUGAAGGUGUGAGGUACUAUAUAUGUCUUUCUUGGAGCUGACUUGGCUUGUUAUGUCAGCGGCAGCCUGUUACUGACCCAGCCUGUCAAGUGGCGCCAAGAAAAAGAAAUAGUGUACAGAAGGAAUGAGACAGACAAGGAGGGAGAGAACAAAAACAAUGAUAAUAGGAGAAAACAUCAAUUAGAAAGAGAGAGAAUGUAAUCCAUUCAGCUGACAAAGGUAAAGGGACUUUUAAGAUUAAAUUUCAGGAUAUAGUCAAAAUUCAGUUGAACUUCUCCUUUCCAGACCUGCCACUUGGACCUUACCUCUCACUGUCCAGACAGCUAUGAAAGCCCACUGUGUGCACAUGUCCGCAGGUGGCAGACAGGGAAAGUGUAGUGUCUGCGGUCGUUUUUAAGAGGUUUGUCAACAACUCACUGAAGGUGACUCUUAACAAAGUUUUCAGUAGACCAGCACCUCAAACUCUUGCAGCUUUUUUUGAUUAGGAAUUGAGCAACCAGGGAGAUGUUGUGGUCUGGAUACUCUGCUGGAGGGGCUUUCCGGAGCAUGGUUGGACAUCCUCUGCCAUGCUUUGUGGUGUUGGGGACCUCUGCUACUGUGGGUUUAACAUCAACAGACUCAGUGCAGACUCAGCUAUGUAGGCCACCCUGUCCUCAGGCUUAACACACAACGAUAUUAACCGAGCCAGGGCAGGAAGAGUUGGUGUGUUUCUUUCGACAAACACAGAGCCAAACGAGUCCCAUGAGUGUUUGGCUUCCUGCUAGGCCAGAGGGAACAAAGGACCAUAGAGAACUCAGCACUCAGCGUGGGACAGAUAUGUCUAUCUCUUUCUCUCCAUCCCAACUCUCCAAAGCCCCAUCCCAAAAACACGCUCUCUGAGCCGCGGUGCCAGCGGGCUCGGCAUCCGCAGCCAAAUCCUUCUCAUCAAGUAGGCCUGUGCAG